GAAGGGGGAGGAAAGCGGUCUCCGGAAUCUCUGGGCGUAAAGCGUCUGUAGGUGGUGAUGCAAGUCACUGGUGCAAAACUCUGGCUCAACCGGAGGAAAGCCAGUGAAACUGCAUGACUAGAGUGUGGGAGAGGUAGAAGGAAUUCCCUGAGUAGCGGUGAAAUGCGUAGAUACAGGGAAGAACACCGGAGGCGAAAGCGUACUACUGGACCACAAAUGACAUUGCGACACGAAAGCUAGGGGAGCGAAUGGG
rnacentral:rRNA from 1 species